AUUGAACGCUGGCGGAAUGCUUAACACAUGCAAGUCGAGCGGGCUGUAGCAAUACAGCUAGCGGCGGACGGGUGAGAAAUACAUAGGAAUCUGCCUCAGAGUGGGGAUAGCCCGGGGAAACCGGAUUAAUACCGCAUGAUGUCGUAAGACCAAAGCAGGGGACCGUAAGGCCUUGCGCUUUGAGAUGAGCCUAUGUCGGAUUAGCUAGUUGGCGGGGUAAAAGCCCACCAAGGCGACGAUCCGUAGCUGGUCU
rnacentral:rRNA from 1 species